GACGAACGCUGGCGGCGUGCUUAACACAUGCAAGUCGAACGGUAAGGCCCUUCGGGGUACACGAGUGGCGAACGGGUGAGUAACACGUGGGUGAUCUGCCCUGCACUUCGGGAUAAGCCUGGGAAACUGGGUCUAAUACCGGAUAGGACCACUGCCUGCAUGGGUGGUGGUGGAAAGCUUUUGCGGUGUGGGAUGGGCCCGCGGCCUAUCAACUUGUUGGUGGGGUGAUGGCCUACCAAGGCGACGACGGGUAGCCGGCCUGAGAGGGUGACCGGCCACACUGGGACUGAGAUACGGCCCAGACUCCUACGGGAGGCAGCAGUGGGGAAUAUUGCACAAUGGGCGCAAGCCUGAUGCAGCGACGCCGCGUGAGGGAUGACGGCCUCCGGGUUGUAAACCUCUUUCAGCACCGACGAAGCGCAAGUGACGGUAGGUGCAGAAGAAGGACCGGCCAACUACGUGCCAGCAGCCGCCGUAAAAC
rnacentral:rRNA from 1 species